rnacentral:rRNA from 1 species
CACGUAGGGCGCAAGCGUUGUCCGGAAUUAUUGGGCGUAAAGCGCACGUAGGCGGCUUUUUAAGUCAGGGGUGAAAUCCUGGAGCUCAACUCCAGAACUGCCUUUGAUACUGGGAAGCUUGAGUCCGGGAGAGGUGAGUGGAACUCCGAGUGUAGAGGUGAAAUUCGUAGAUAUUCGGAAGAACACCAGUGGCGAAGGCGGCUCACUGGCCCGGUACUGACGCUGAGGUGCGAAAGCGUGGGGAGCAAACAGG